rnacentral:misc_RNA from 1 species
GAUGAAGAACGCAGCGAAAUGCGAUACGUAAUGUGAAUUGCAAAUUCAGUGAAUCAUCGAGUCUUUGAACGCACAUUGCGCCCCAUGGUAUUCCGUGGGGCAUGCCUGUUCGAGCGUCAUUUACCCCCUCAAGCUCCGCUUGGUGUUGGGCGUCUGUCCCGCUUCGCGCGCGGACUCGCCCCAAAGGUAUUGGCAGCGGUCGUGCCAGCUUCUCGCGCAGCACAUUGCGCUUCUCGAGGCACCGGUGGGCCCGCGUCCAUCAAGCUCACCCCCCCAGUUUGACCUCGGAUCAGGUAGGGAUACCCGCUGAACUUAAGCAUAUCAAUAAGCGGAGGA